GACGAACGCUGGCGGCGUGCUUAACACAUGCAAGUCGAACGGAAAGGCCCUGCUUUUGUGGGGUGCUCGAGUGGCGAACGGGUGAGUAACACGUGAGUAACCUGCCCUUGACUUUGGGAUAACUUCAGGAAACUGGGGCUAAUACCGCAUAGGAGCUCCUGCAGCGUGGGGGGGGUUGGAAAGAUCCGGCUGUUGGGGAUGGACUGGCGGCUUAUCAGCUUGUUGGUGGGGUAGUGGCUGACCAAGGGUUUGAAGGGUAGCCGGCCUGAGAGGGUGAACGGCGACAAGGGGACUAAGGGACGGAGCAGAAUGCAACCGGCGGCAGUGGGGGAGAACAUUGCAGAGUGAGGGGAAGUGUGAGGUAGAAGUGCUGGGUGCGGGAUGACGUGUUUCGGGGUGUAAACCGCUUUGGCAUGUGAUGAAGCGGGAGUGACGGUAACGGGUAAAGAAGCAACGGCUAACUACGUG
rnacentral:rRNA from 1 species